GACGAACGCUGGCGGCGUGCUUAACACGUGCAAGUCGAACGGAAAGGCCCUGCUUUUGUGGGGUGCUCGAGUGGCGAACGGGUGAGUAACACGUGAGUAACCUGCCCUUGACUUUGGGAUAACUUCAGGAAACUGGGGCUAAUACCGGAUAGGAGCUCCUGCUGCAUGGUGGGGGUUGGAAAGUUUCGGCGGUUGGGGAUGGACUCGCGGCUUAUCAGCUUGUUGGUGGGGUAGUGGCUUACCAAGGCUUUGACGGGUAGCCGGCCUGAGAGGGUGACCGGCCACAUUGGGACUGAGAUACGGCCCAGACUCCUACGGGAGGCAGCAGUGGGGAAUAUUGCACAAUGGGCUGAAGCCUGAUGCAGCAACGCCGCGUGCGGGAUGACGGCCUUCGGGUUGUAAACCGCUUUCGCCUGUGACGAAGCGUGAGUGACGGUAAUGGGUAAAGAAGCACCGGCUAACUACGUG
rnacentral:rRNA from 1 species